UAACCUGCCCAAGAGAUCGGGAUAACACCUGGAAACAGAUGCUAAUACCGGAUAACAACAGAUGAUGCCUAUCAACUGUUUAAAAGAUGGUUCUGCUAUCACUCUUGGAUGGACCUGCGGUGCAUUAGCUAGUUGGUAGGGUAACGGCCUACCAAGGCGAUGAUGCAUAGCCGAGUUGAGNGACUGAUCGGCCACAUUGGGACUGAGACACGGCCCAAACUCCUACGGGAGGCAGCAGC
rnacentral:rRNA from 1 species